rnacentral:lncRNA from 1 species
GUGGUGGUGUGUGCCUGUAAUCUCAGCUACUCAGGAGGCUGAGGCACGAGAAUCACUUGAACCUGGGAGGCGGAGGUUGCAGUGAGCUGAGAUCGUGGGCCUUCCCGGAGCACAGCCAGGCGAGGGCUGCAGGGCAGGAGCUGUGCAGAGCUGGGGGCCAGGGAGUUCCAGUGGAGGGGGUGGGACAAGUAGACUUGGAUCCCAGCUUCUGGCCCUCUUAGGUUCUGGCUUAGAGCUAGGAGAGAGGGUGAAGGGUGAACUCUCAGCCCGUCUGCAUCUGACACCACUCUCCUGCACCGCGGGUUCUCCCCUCUGCCAGGACUUUCCGCCCACUUACAUGCAUCCCAAGUGGAUAUAGCUCAAUAUCAAAGACCAAAGACUUCCAGAUUCCCUUCAGCUACCAUGCCUUGUCUCUGCUCCCCUUAGAGCAAAACUCUUCCAAAGAGCUGUGUGUGUUCCCCGUCUCCACUUCUGCCCACUCCCUUCCAGUUUUUUCCUCACAAUCCCACCAAAAGUUUCCUUUCCACAGUUGCCAGUGACCUGGGUUGCCCAGUCCUAUCAGUAGCAUUAGAUGCAAAUAAUCACCCGCUUGAGUCUUUCCACCUGGCCUGUGGACAGCUCUGUGCUCUCCUCUCACCUCCCUGGCCUCUCCUUCUUGGCCUCCCUUGCUAUGGUGUCCUCAGCUUCCCAGCCUCAAAACCCUGGAGGACUCGGGGCUCCAGCCUCUAAUGUAGCCUCCUCUCUCCCCACACUCAGCCCUAAAGGGAGCUCACUCGGCCCCAUGGUGUGAAAUGUGCUCCCCUGGGGAGACUUCCCUCCUAGUAAAUGCAGACUCGGUUCUUCAGUUCCGAGGCCGAAAACUGGGGAAUCCUCCUCGAUUCCUGUUUCUCUUGUACCCACCAUCUAAUCCAUGAGCAAAUCCUCCAGGCUUAUCCUGACAGUGCCUUGCCCCUUCCUCUACUGCGAUUAUCUCUUGUCUGGAUAUUGCAAUAGGCUCCUAAUUAUCCCUGCUCCCACUCUCUUCUCCCUGUAGCCUGUUCUCCACUCAAUAGCCAGAGAUUUUUCAGAGCUGAGCAGAUCGUGUUGGAUUGCUGAUCCAAACUGUGCAGAGUGUCCCACCUACCUAGGUGUGUAAGCUGAAGCCUUACCUGUGAGGGGCCCACAUGGUCUGAUCUCCCAGGAGCUGCUGGAUCUUAAUUCCUCUUAC